rnacentral:lncRNA from 1 species
AGUUGGAUCAAGAGUACUUACGAUCUAGGAGCUUGAAUGGUCAGUUUUGGCCAAGAACACUAGUGUGUGUUCUUGGUGAAACUUGAAGGUCUACAAUAUGGAAUAAUUUCACGGAUGAAAUCAUGUAAGAUUACUAGUUCAUGCAAGAUAUCAACUAGUUAAGAAAAUAAGCUUACGAGUUUUGAAGAUCGGGGAUGAAGAUCGGGAUGAUACUUGAGAGGAUUUGGGCCAAAUGGAAGGGAGGAAUGAACAAAUGACCACCUCUUCAUCAUAUAAGCAAGAGUUUACGGCCCACAUGGAUUUUACAGCCGUAAACUCCCAUGUGUUGGCCGUAAACUCCUUGCAUGGUUGUUUAAGGUCAUUUUUUUGAGCUAAAACUUUAGUUGAUAAAUCCCGACACUUUUUCCUUAAGUAUACAAGGCUUAGAAUGCUCAAAUAAACUUCUAAUUGUGCUAAAAGAUAACAACAUUGAGUUUGACUUUCAAAGAAGUGUUAGACUGAACUGGAUGGAAAAUUUCGGGUUGUCACAUCAUCCCCCGUAAGAGGGAAUUUCGUCCCGAAAUUAGAAUUUAGGUAAAGGAGUAGGCAUGAAUAAUCGAGCAAGGAGGUGGGGAAACUUCCUAAUCGAUUGGUUCUCACGCUCAUAAGUGAAUUCGAGUCCUCGAUUGGUAUCCCAAAGAACCUUCACUAAUGGGAGGCGGCAUUGCUUCGUCCGCUUGACCAAUCUGUCGAGGGUCACUACGGUUCUUCCACGAAGGCGAGGAUCUCGUUGAUCUCGAUCUCGUCGAGUGGGAUUACGAGAGUCCUGACGGAAAGGUACGUUUUCAAGUUCCGUGAAGGGUAAAAUGUACGUUACUGAGUUCGUGGUGUAGGUUGGGUUUGUGUGUUACAGGGCCGAUUCAGGCAAGAAUCCCGGAGGUCCUAACUAUCUUGGAUUUAGCUUACCACGCUUUCUGAAGCGUAUCAAGCCUUCCCAGAGUGAGACUUCCAAAAGGAUUUGGCCUCUCACUUGGAAUUCCAAGGUUUUCUUCCUCUUGCUUGUCUUCCCAGUCAAGGGCCACUCCUUUCUGAGUCAAAGUCAUCAGAGGUUUCGUAAUCCGCGAUGAGUUUUGGAUGAACUCUCGACAGUAGGUCAACGAGACCUAGAAUUUGGCAAAUUCCUGUCGGCGUCUUCGGUGCUGACAAAUUCUCAGCGGUUUUGAUUUUUGGCAGGGUCCUCAAGAAUUCCCACAUUACUGGUAAUGUGUCUUAGGAAUUCGACUCUUCAAAUAUAAAACUCGCAUUUAGAGAACUUCGCGUAAAGCUUCUCUGAUCGUAAUGUUUCCAGGGUUUGUUGUAGAUGCUCUUUAUGAUUUCCUUCUUACUACGAGAGUAGAUAAGUAAGUCAUUUAUAAGGAAAACGACGAACUGAUCCAAGUAAGAAUCGCGCACCCUAUUCAUUAAGUUCAUGAAUACUACGGGCGUAUUGGUCCUAUCCGAAGGAUAUCACUACGGACUCGUAGCGUCCGCAUCGAGUUUGGAAGAUUGUCCUCGGGGCAUCCUUCACUAACACUCGAAACUGGUGAUAUUCGGACCUCAGGUCUAUUUCUGAAAGGUAAAUAGUUCCUUGCGGUUGGUCAACCGACUCAUCUAUGUGAGGCAGAGGGUAAUGAUUUCUAAUGGGAAUCAUGUCGAGGUCUCUGAAGAUGAGGUACUUCUGGCAUGAGUACUUUGGAGUUCUGAAAUGAUGGCUUCGCUAGAAAGACGAUUUCGAAGAAGGAGAUGUACGCACGAAACUGGUAUUGUGUGGAUCGAUUUGACUCAAGUUGUAUGAUAAUGUCGGACUUACUUAGAAGUAAAAGACAUUAGAUUUGAACAUAAAGGCGUUACAGACAAAACACAACGGUGCAGCUUUUAACAGGGUUACAGUACUUUAGAGUAACUAUAGGAAUACUGCUGCGAACAAAGUAUACUACAAAAGGCAAGUAUACGCAGCAUGAGGGUCCCUUAAUUAACGGGAUCUCGCAAAAGAUAAGACUCGAGUUUCACUAGUUUUAAACAUGUUUUAAAAGCAUACAAAAUACUGACGAUUGGAAGUGAACCUAUACUAUAGUAGGGUCCUUCGUUGCCUCUUUCCAUUCUGAGGUCAAACUCCUCCGGAUUCGCCAUCGUUCUUCUCCGUUGGACAGUACCUCUUGAAGUGUCCCAUUACGCCAUAUAGAUGGCAUAUCCGAGAGGUUUCGACAUUGGUGGUUGAAGUAAUGUGUUUGAUCCGGGUCCUGCAGCAGCUGGUAGUAUGUCCAUUCUUGUUGCACUUAAAGUAGUGUAACGGACGACAACUACCCAGAUGAUGGAAGCUACACUUAUUGCAUUUCGGUAGGUUUCCGGCAUACUGCCUGGCUGGUGUAGGGACAAUUGGGAUACCAGAAGGAAUGGUAGUAGGAUUUACAUAUGUUGUGGUUGUGAAGGUCGUUACCAGUGGUUGUUUCUUGUUCGCCCCUCGAAGCGAUUUGUCCUUCGAUUUAGCCCAAAACUUCUGUUUGUUAUUCCUGGGCUUGGGAUUUGGGGUGUCGUGGUAGUUUGUUGCUCGUUGAGGUACUUGAUUGUUACCUGGAUUGGAUUUAUUGUUAACAAUCCCGCUAACAUUCGCGUUGUUAGCGUUAAGGUGGGUCAGAACAGCUGUCACGGCAGCCAAGACUGCAACUUGAAAGGUAGCUGCAUCAAUAUGAAGAGUUGGUGUUUGGUUGAUGGGUUGAUCGUUUUUCUUUGGCGACAUGAUUCUGUUACACGAAAAGAAAAUGAAUUUGUGAGCGAGCAUGGUUGAACCUAGACGUAGUUCGAUUGUUCAUGUAAAGAAUAGAAGUAUGUUCUCGUGGGUUCGACCUACAUCCCUAUGAUGCAGUCCUAGCAAAGAGUGGAAGUAAGUUCGUACAAUGGUCUCAAGACGUUUUACGUUCAAGCCGAGGUAUUAUAGGUUGGUGGAUAAUAUGAUCCAACCUUUGAAAGAGGCUUGAAAUUGAUUCCGGAGUUAAAUUACUAUAGUCCAAAGACUUGACUAUAGCAAGUUUCAGAUAGACUCCAAUGAAAGUAUGAUGAGAUUAUUUGAACAAAGAGUGAAACGGAAGUUAGCCGACUGUCAAUAUCAUCGAUGUUUAAGAUGUAAUAAGUUUGGGAAAAUUUGACCUAGUAGAAGGUCUUACAUCAUAUCUGGAGUAGCAAAGGUUUUGGCUGCAUAAAGGCCUAACUAAAAGUACCUAUAGUACAAGGCAGUUUCAUAGAAAAAUGCCACACAGGACAUAGACAGGAACACGGUUCUUUAAAACAAGAAGGAAAGUAAAGCAACUCCUACUGGUGACGAUCAUCCCUCUGGUGAACCCUUAGUUCAGCCAGUUGAUGUUCCACAUCAAGCAGGUGUCUUUCGUACACCCUCUGGCGUACUCGGAGUUCUAUGACUUUGGCUCGUGAUUCAGCCAGUGCUUGAAGCAGGGUUUCAUGGUCUCUUUCAGAUCUCUCACGAACAUCUUCCAGACGAAUGGUGCGAAGGGUAUGCAUUCUCGCAUUGGUGACAACUUCUGUGAUCUGAUGUAGGGUUGUCCUGCCUUGAAUCUCAUUUCGGGCCACUCUACGGACCAGGAUUGGCAAGAUUCUGUUUGCUGAGCCCCCAUUGCUCAGGUCAUAAAAGCUUCGGUAUCCAUUAAAUGGCAUGGGCUGACCCUGUCAUUGGCUCCAUGUUUCCAAGCAUUCUACCCAACGAGGCGUCGGGCCAUGAAAAGCCGGACGAGGGUUAGGAUUUGGAAAGGGAGCUGCCUGGGGUAGGUUCUCAACCUCGGGUUCGGAGUUAGCAUCAUCCGAAAGGUCUUCAUCAUGGUGAUCAUUCAAAGGGAUCAGGUGAUUAUUCUCUGGUUCUUCUCCAAAGCAUCCAACAAUGACUUCGUUCGGAAGGUACGGGUUGCCGUGGGGAUGGAGUCCAGCCAUGUUAUCUACGCGAGAAAUAGGGUAAGGAAAUAACCAUUAGACGAACUAUCUAGAUAAUUAUUAGAAAACCUUCAUUAGUUACAUCACUAUUUGUAAAGUGCAUACCAUUUAUAUGUAAUCAACACAGGAUAGGCCUUCGAAUAAGUGACCUUAACUCCAAAUUCACCANAAAUUCACAAGGAAUAAGGGUAAAGCAAAAAUUUCACCGAUUCUAAGUCUAUAACAUCCUAGUUACAUAUAGCCUUAGUGUAUCCACUUAGCAACUAUCAACUUAGUAAUGAAGAUCCUUUUUAGUUCUCAAGUAAGUAAUUAUAGUAACACAAAACACCCCUAUGGUAUUUUAGACUUAGGUUCUGUUAUAAUGUUCUCAUUGUAGUAGUGUUGGUAAGUUUUUAGACUUGUUGACACAUCACAACCAUUCUUGGGCAUGUGCUAAUCACUCCUCGGAACAUCAUAGUUGAUCAGGCUAUGCCACUCCCAAGACUGACCAUACAACCCCGAGCUUAUCUGUGAUAUUCAACAAUCGUAAUACUUUUAUUCUUGUCAUUGUGACACGGAUUUUAGUAUGAAUGCAGGAGCGUAUACUUUGUUAAAUAUUUUAUUAUUUAAAAGUAUAAACACUUGGUCAGAGUAUUUCUAAUUCCAUUGUAUUUAUAGUUAGUAUAUCGUUAUUUAAAAGUAUAAACACUUGGUCAGAGUAUUUCUAAUUCCAUUGUAUUUAUAGUUAGUAUAUCGUUUACGGGUUGAUAUACUUAAUUCACUAUAAACAAUUGAUACCAAUNGUAAUGUAUCACAACAAUGUAAAGUAGUAAAAAAGCAACAACAUCAUCCAUUGCAUUAAUAGUAUGAUUUUUAAUUACAAGUGUGUUCUUUCAUAAUAUAAGACAACAUAAUGAAUACUCAAAAUAAAAGACGAGUCUGAACUGCUCUGUCUUCAUAAAACCUGAUCGUCGUACCUGUCUAUUUGUGACCUGAGAAUACAAGUUAUUUUGAAAGCGAGUAUCAGCCAAAAAGCUGGUGAAUUCAUAUGUAUUAAUGUGUCUUUGAUUUGUAAAACUUGUAAUGAAAGACUUGAAAUUGUUUUGAAAGAAAGUUCGUAUAAGUAUGAAAAUGUUUGUAAGUAGUUGAAAGCGUUUGGAAAGCCCUAGGAAUCCCUAUGAUCCCUAUAAAAGAAAUCUUCUACCAAGACUUAACUGUUUUGAAAGUAGUCUUCUACCAAGACCCGACUGUUUUGAAAGUAGUCUUCUACCAAGACCCGACUGUUUUGAAAGUAGCCUUCUACCAAGACCCGAUUGUACUACUAUUAUUAUUAAUAUAAGAAGUUGUAUACUUAGGUACUAGGAUACUCAAAUAUAAUUCACCUCAUCGGUUAUGUGAAUGUGUCACAAGCUAAAUGUAAUAAUAUAAAUAACUUAAGUAUUAUCCUUUUGUACUAGGAUAACUAACACUGUUAACUGUAGACAUCCGUAGAUGUACAUUUACCUCUGUAGCUAACAGCUGGGUGAAGGAUUAGUUAGUCCCUUAAAGUAUACCUAUAAUGGUAUCAACCGUAGACAUCCGUAGAUGUGCAUUUACCUCUAUAGCUAACAACGGUGAAAGGAAUGGUUAGUCCCACAAAGUAUCCUUUGGUACUAGGAUAUUAAGUCCAAUCUAUCUCAUCGGUUAUGUGAAUGUAUCACAAAAUAAAGAUAAGAAGGAGAAUUAUAUAAUAGUAUCUACACAUAUAAUAUGUAAUAGUAACUCGUCAUAUAUUAUCUACGUAAAAUUAUACCUGUAAGAGUAUCUAUGUAAACGUACUCAUGUAAGCGUAUCUAUGUAAACGUACUUAUGUAAGCAUAUCUAUGUAAACGUACUCAUGUAAGCGUAUCUAUGUAAACGUACUCAUGUAAGCGUAUCUAUGUAAACGUACUCUUGUAAGCGUAUCUAUGUAAACGUACUCAUGUAACAUGUAAUGUAUUAAUAUAGACUCAUGAAUGAACUGACUCUUGUGUGAUUCCUUGUACUUGGAAUGGUAAGUAGUAUCUCCUAACUAUACCUAUAAUAGUUACUAACAAUGUACGUGUAUGACCUGAAGUAUGCCUUUGCUACCCAAAGGUACUGAACUGAUUGAGGAAAACUUUUAUGUCUACAUAUGUAUACAGGAUACAUAACUAAUAUUUAGACGACAUUCGGACGGAUAACCGAUACCCUGUAACCACAUCCCAACGAGGAAAAGGAAAUAGGGUGAGUUAGCCUUCCUAAGUCCUUUAAACAUUUAUUAUAUAACUAUACAUAUAUGGGCAUGCAUUUGAUAAUAUAAAAGCAUAAAAGAAGUUUUGUAAAACCUUUGAAAAGAUUAAUAUCUAAGAAAGGAUCUACUUGAUGUCAGUUUAUAAAACAGUUUGAAAGUAUUUGUUUGAUAAAACAGUUUAAGUAUAAAGAAACCUUUGUUUGAAACACAAUUGUAAAAGAGUUUGAAAUGAAACAUACAGUUUUUAAUAAACGGUUUAAUAAAGUGUUUUAAACACAUAAAAACGUUUAAGAUAAACAUUUGAAGAAAUCUGUUUUGUAAAACAGUUAACGUAUAGUAAAUCCAUUUGCAUGUUAAUUAUUAAUCACAUGUGAUUGAUAUAAUAACUAAACAUGAUAUCUCCCCCAUAAGCAUUUAUAAACAUUUAAAAACAUUUAAAAGGUUAACUCAAGGGGUAUGAACUCACCUGCAGUGAGCGGAUCGGAAGGAAGUGCCGGACAAGUGCUUGGUGUCAAGUGAAGACUUAGACACACACAAUGAUCCUAAUUACAUAUGAAGACAUAUUUAUAUAAAAAAUUAGUGAUUAUAACACUAAUUAAACAUGUAUAAACAUCCUAUUGCGAGGAAAACACUUUGGUCAAGUGUUAGGAGGCUAUCAGGUUGCAACAAAGGAGUGCAAGGCCUCAUACGGAAGUUUAUGGUCCAAUGACCAUGUUUGUUGGAGUUUACGGCCCAGGGGAGUUUACUCCUGGCCGUAAAAUCUCAAUUGGUCACCAAAAGGGGCUUAAAACUCUAAGGGCUUAAGUGGUUAAGUGCUCCAAAGCUUUAAACAACUGUUUGGGUGGGUUUAAGGUCCUAAAAUGACCUUGUAUGGUGUUUACGGCCCUGGGACCACUCCCCCAUGAGUUUACGGCCGUAAACUCAUGGUAAGGAGUACCAUUUAGUUAAUUGUGGUCCUUAGGUCAAUGGUGUAAGGUUCUAUGUCACUAACCAAGGCUUACUAAGGUGUUAGCGUGUCAUUUGCACCCUAAAAAGGGGUUUACAGCCCAAGAACAUGCCUUGGCCGUAAACUCCUUGAAUCCCUUGAUUUCUUAUGUUUUCUAAGCUCUAAAUAGGAUAAAACUAGUGUACAAUGAGUUGGAUCAAGAGUACUUACGAUUUAGGAGCUUGAAUGGUCGGUUUUGGCCAAGAACGCCAGUGUGUGUUCUUGGUGAAACUUGAAGGUCUACAAAAUGGAAUGAUUUCACGGAUGAAAUCAUGUAAGAUUACUAGUUCAUGCAAGAUAUCAACUAGUUAAGACAAUAAGCUUACGAGUUUUGAAGAUCGGGGACGAAGAUCGGGAUGAUACUUGAGAGGAUUUGGUCCAAAUGGAAGGGAGGAAUGAACAAAUGAGCACCUCUUCAUCAUAUAAGCAAGAGUUUACGGCCCACAUGGAGUUUACGGCCAUAAAAUCCUAUGUGUUGGCCGUGAACUCCUUGCAUGGGUUUUUAAGGUCAUUUCGUUGAGCUAAAACUUCAGUCGAUAAACCCCGACACUUAUUCCUUAAGUAUACAAGGCUUAGAAUGCUCAAAUAAACUUCUAAUUGUGCUAAAAGAUAACAACAUUGAGUUUGACUUUCAAAGAAGUGUUAGACUGAACUGGAUGGAAAAUUUCUUGGUGUCACAACAUAUCACAACAAUAACCAAGAAAAUCACACAUAACAUGCAUAAAUACAUAGAUCUAUACAUAACACUUGUAUCCUCCCCCAAAAAUAUGUAACAACCAAAAACAAGGGUGUAUGAAUUCACCUUGGUUGUUUGUUCUCGGUUUGGUGAAGAGAAGAGUGAGGUUUCGACCCUAGUAAGCUUCCCUUGAGUUGAUCUCGAUUUCUAUGAAGUGCUAGAGUAUGGAUUAUGAAGUAAUGCGGGUUAAGAAAAG